GACGUAGGAGGCGAGCGUUGUCCGGAUUCAUUGGGCGUAAAGAGCGCGCAGGCGGCUUGGUAAGUCGGAUGUGAAAUCCCGAGGCUCAACCUCGGGUCUGCAUCCGAUACUGCCCGGCUAGAGGUAGGUAGGGGAGAUCGGAAUUCCUGGUGUAGCGGUGAAAUGCGCAGAUAUCAGGAGGAACACCGGUGGCGAAGGCGGCACUCUGGGCCGGAACUGACGCUGAGGAGCGAAAGCGUGGGGAGCGAACAGG
rnacentral:rRNA from 1 species